rnacentral:rRNA from 1 species
UACGUAGGAGACGAGCGUUGUCCGGAGUUACUGGGCGUAAAGGGUGCGCAGGUGACGGCGCGCGGUGGGGGGUGAAAUCGCCCGGCUUAACUGGGCGGGGGCCUUCCAGACGGCGUGGCUUGAGCAGCGGAGGGGGACGUGGAAUUCCGGGUGGAGCGGUGAAAUGCGUAGAGAUCCGGAGGAACACCGGACGGCGCAGGCAGCGUCCUGGC